UACAGAGGGUGCGAGCGUUGUCCGGAAUCACUGGGCGUAAAGGGCGCGUAGGCGGCCUGAUAAGUCGGGGGUGAAAUCCUGUGGCUUAACCACAGGGCUGCCUCCGAGACUGUCGGGCUCGAGCACAGUAGAGGCAGGUGGAAUUCCCGGUGUAGCGGUGGAAUGCGUAGAGAUCGGGAAGAACAUCGGUGGCGAAGGCGCUCUGCUGGACCAUAACUGACACUCAGGGACGAAAGCUAGGGGAGCGAAUGGG
rnacentral:rRNA from 1 species